ACGCUGUAAACGAUGAUUACUAGGUGUGGGGGGACUGACCCCUUCCGUGCCGGAGCAAACGCAAUAAGUAAUCCACCUGGGGAGUACGGCCGCAAGGCUGAAACUCAAAGGAAUUGACGGGGGCCCGCACAAGCAGUGGAGUAUGUGGUUUAAUUCGAAGCAACGCGAAGAACCUUACCAGGUCUUGACAUCGAGUGAAGAUUCAAGAGAUUGAAUCGCCUUCGGGCACAAAGACAGGUGGUGCAUGGUUGUCGUCAGCUCGUGUCGUGAGAUGUUGGGUUAAGUCCCGCAACGAGCGCAACCCUUACCAUUAGUUGCUACGCAAGAGCACUCUAAUGGGACUGCCGUUGACAAAACGGAGGAAGGUGGGGAUGACGUCAAAUCAUCAUGCCCCUUAUGACCUGGGCUACACACGUACUACAAUGGCAAUCAAACAGAGGGAAGCAAUACAGCGAUGUAAAGCAAAACCCGAAAAAUUGUCUCAGUUCGGAUUGCAGGCUGCAACUCGCCUGCAUGAAGUCGGAAUUGCUAGUAAUCGCAGAUCAGCAUGCUGCGGUGAAUACGUUCCCGGGCCUUGUACACACCGCCCGUCACACCAUGGGAGUCGGUAACACCCGAAGCCAGUAGUCCAACCGCAAGGAGGACGCUGUCGAAGGUGGGAUUGAUGACUGGGGUG
rnacentral:rRNA from 1 species